UCGGCCGCCCGCCCCCCGGGUCCGGGCCCGGGUCCGGGUCUGGGUCCGGACCACGCAGCCGCUGCGAACCAGGCCGCCCACGGCGAUGCGGAGCUGGCUCUGAUUCUCCUCUACGUCAUAUCCGCUGGACAGCAGCGCCUCCCGCAGGAAGGAAAACACAGAGAACAAUAUUAGUCAUGUGGGCGAGCAGCCUGUGAGGUGUCAAGUAGCAGAUGCCAAUAGUGAAUAUGAAAAUCUCUGUUUUCUGGACAUCAUGGAUCAUUUUGGAGAUGCAAAUGGAAUCCAUGGGGCAGAGGUUGAUGAUGAUGAGGAGGUCUCUGCUACCAAGGCAAAUCACGCCAGACUGGGUGAAGACUGCCUCGAUGAUACCCUUGAAUAUUUACCGGAUAACACAGAGGAUCCCCACGUAUAGUCUGUCAAAGUGAGAACCUGUUACUGAGCCAAAGUUGGCGAGUC